GCACCGCACUCCCGUCUGAUCUGCGCAGUUAACCGAAGGUGCCGCCUAGUUAGUACCAUGGUGGGGGACCACACGGGAAUCCUAGGUGCUGUGGUUU
rnacentral:rRNA from 1 species